CCCAUAGUUCCGCUCUAGCCUCCUUCGCAGGCAACCGUGUAUUGUUUUGUACUCUGUAUUGUUUUGUAUAACAGGUUUUAUAAAAUUUGAGCAUUUAAAAAAUGCAUUUACAAUACAAAACAAAUAAGAGUUGAAAACCUGUUAUACAAAAUUGAUACAGAGUUGCCUGCGGAAGAGGCAACCUCGUUUCCAGGCUCUUCCCUCUUGUGGAGGGGUAUGGGAAAGUCUCAUAUUACAUGUUUCCACUUCCGCCUUCACUCUUCGAUUGCAAGGAGUGGCCGUUCUGUACAAUCAUCUUUGAGAAUCAUAUACUUCAAAACACUUGCAAAAAUGGUUUCUGUUUGCUUUUAAAUUAUA